CUCCGCAGUAUAAAUAAAUAAAAAUACUGCAGUACAUCUUGCUCUCUCACUCUCAUCUCCCCAACGCCAGAUCCGGGGUGGCAGACUGGUGGCGCACAGAUCCAGGGCGACCACUGCGAGCCAUGCCACAGGAGCUUGGGGCAGAGGAUGGCGGCGGUCGGAGCACACGGGGUGACGGGCUUUGCAGAGACCUCCCUUUUAAGUGCAACUCGACACGUAGACCCAGUGUGAGAAGUGUGAGAGCCCUUAGAAACUAGAUAUUCUCUUUUUUUAAAACAAAAGACGUCGUAAUAUUUCUCUUUAUUUACGCCGCUCGGAAGGGCUCUGCCAGAUGGGCUCAAUCUGUUGAUUCAGUUUGAAAUGGAUAAUUGCGCGGAUCACUAUAAAUGGGAACAUGAAAUCUGUGCGGAAGUAAUUGCAAUCCUUAGGGAAAUUUAGCAACUCAGAAGCAAUUCGGAUGCUUUUGUUUUAGUCUGAAAUUGUACCCAAUCUAAAAGUUUGACCUAUGCUUAGGCUAAUUAAACUGUCAUCUUAUACUGUCCAGGGGUACAGGCU
rnacentral:lncRNA from 1 species